AGCUACUACACUCGCACAAACUGAGAAGAGUUAGUUCAUUGAGAAUGGAUUGAAACUGAUGAAGAGCUGGAAGGAGUUAACUGAUGAGUAGACAUUACAACAUUUCUUAUAUUUGCAAGAUGAAGCUGAAAGUCCCAUGCAGGAUGAUGCUUCUCUACAGUGGAUGAUGAAGGCAUGCUGAUUACAAACCCAGGAGAGGAACAAAGAACAGAUAUUGACAGAAUC